rnacentral:rRNA from 1 species
GGGUUGUAAAGUACUUUCAGCGGGGAGGAAGGGAGUAAAGUUAAUACCUUUGCUCAUUGACGUUACCCGCAGAAGAAGCACCGGCUAACUCCGUGCCAGCAGCCGCGGUAAUACGGAGGGUGCAAGCGCUAAUCGGAAUUACUGGGCGUAAAGCGCACGCAGGCGGUUUGUUAAGUCAGAUGUGAAAUCCCCGGGCUCAACCUGGGAACUGCAUCUGAUACUGGCAAGCUUGAGUCUCGUAGAGGGGGGUAGAAUUCCAGGUGUAGCGGUGAAAUGCGUAGAGAUCUGGAGGAAUACCGGUGGCGAAGGCGGCCCCCUGGACGAAGACUGACGCUCAGGUGCGAAAGCGUGGGGAGCAAACAGGAUUAGAUACCCUGGUAGUCCACGCCGUAAACGAUGUCGACUUGGAGGUUGUGCCCUUGAGGCGUGGCUUCCGGAGCUAACGCGUUAAGUCGACCGCCUGGGGAGUA